rnacentral:rRNA from 1 species
AAACGGAUGCUAAUACCGCAUAUUUCUAAUCGUCUCCUGACGAAUGGAAGAAAGGUGGCUUCGGCUACCGCUUAUGGAUGGACCCGCGGCGUAUUAGCUAGUUGGUGAGGUAAUGGCUCACCAAGGCGAUGAUACGUAGCCGACCUGAGAGGGUGAUCGGCCACACUGGGACUGAGACACGGCCCAGACUCCUACGGGAGGCAGCAGUAGGGAAUCUUCCGCAAUGGACGAAAGUCUGACGGAGCAAUGCCGCGUGAGUGAAGAAGGUUUUCGGAUCGUAAAACUCUGUUGUUAGAGAAGAACAAGGAUGUUUAGUAACUGCUCAUCCCCUGACGGUAUCUAACCAGAAAGCCACGGCUAACUACGUGCCAGCAGCCGCGGUAAUACGUAGGUGGCAAGCGUUGUCCGGAUUUAUUGGGCGUAAAGCGAGCGCAGGCGGUUCUUUAAGUCUGAUGUGAAAGCCCCCGGCUCAACCGGGGAGGGUCAUUGGAAACUGGAGAACUUGAGUGCAGAAGAGGAGAGUGGAAUUCCACGUGUAGCGGUGAAAUGCGUAGAUAUGUGGAGGAACACCAGUGGCGAAGGCGACUCUCUGGUCUGUAACUGACGCUGAGGCUCGAAAGCGU